AAUAGGAGAACGCAGGCUAGAAACGCCACAUCCUGUGGCAAUGCCUGCAUAACCUACAUCCUGUAGG
rnacentral:sRNA from 1 species